UAACGCAGGAGACGCUAAACAAGUCGACUGUAUGUGCUUCACACAAAUCUGUAAAAGAGACAAAAGAGGAAGUGGAGUUCCACAGGUUUGAGAAACUGGAGUGAAAUGUACAGAGUGAACUAACAACUUGACGAGGAUCCUGGUAAAUGUGAAUGCCAACGUGUCCUGCUGUCCUGAGGUGGUCUCAGGCGAUGCAACCAGCAGAGUGGUGGUUUCAGAAGGGGCGUCAGGCAUAGGAGCAAGCGCCUUAGCAAACCUGGCCUGCAUUAAGCUAAAAAACACUCCAGUGUUCAGGCCUGAGUGUUAAGACUAGGUUUGACCAUUGCAGAGCCUUACCCUCGAGGAAAAGUCAGAAGAUUCAGGACAGGUCAGAUACUUGAAGUAACGAGUGCUUUACAUUAUGGAAGUCUGCCCAAGACCCUGGCUAGUGUAAGCACACAGCGUGAUUGCCAAAGAGGGCGAAAUAAAACAGGCUCCUUCCUGGAUGGUGGAGAGACGCGUGCCCUCGGGCGGGAAUGUUCGACUUACUGCAUCUUUUGUCUCUGUGUAAUACAGAGACAGGCAGGGUGGGACACAAGGUCCCUGUUCGACAUUGUUUAUUUGAAGGAGGAACCGAAUCAAUCCAUGGGCAGCGUACUAGAAUGCAUUACAAAAAAAAUAAAAAAAAUCAAAGCUAAGCUAAACAGGGAGAUAAAUACAGCGGUAAAACUACAGAAAAUGAACAGGCAGAUGAGAACUUUAAUAUAAAGGGGAUAUAAAAAGGACAGACGAAGAAGCCAGGCACAAGCAGCACAAAUACAGAGGGCAAUCAAAGCUAAUGAGAAACAGUUGAGACAAAUCAAACUCAGGGAAAACCGGAACAAGGGGCAGAAAAAGCAUCAAAACAAAGCAACAAAUGGCGAGACAUCAUCUUUUUUCAGUUAUCUGACAGGAAGGCUUCCUCUCACCCAGGGUCAAUCUAAUGGCCCCCUAUCCUCCUCCCUCCUCCCUCCUCCCUCCUCCCUCCUCCACGUGGUGAGGAUCGCCACAUGGCUUUGUUAUUGUUCCUGUUAUUUUGGAUUGACGUGUCACCAUGUGCUCCUGUGUACCAUGUGAUCUCACAUGUUGCCACACCCCCCUUUUUUCGCCUGCCAUGUGCUGCACCUGACCCUUGUUCUCCACUUUGUUAAUGUGUGUAUUUCAACCCCGCUGUGUACUGCCUCCUUUGCCGGCCAUUGUCUUUGCAAUGUUCAUGUGUUGGUCAUGUAUCAUCUGUGUUUUACUUUCAGUUUUUGAAGUAAAUCUUUUUCUGUUCGAGA